UGGGGAAUUUUGGACAAUGGGCGAAAGCCUGAUCCAGCAAUGCCGCGUGUGUGAAGAAGGCCUUCGGGUUGUAAAGCACUUUUGUCCGGAAAGAAAUCCUUGGCUCUAAUACAGUCGGGGGAUGACGGUACCGGAAGAAUAAGCACCGGCUAACUACGUGCCAGCAGCCGCGGUAAUACGUAGGGUGCAAGCGUUAAUCGGAAUUACUGGGCGUAAAGCGUGCGCAGGCGGUUUGCUAAGACCGAUGUGAAAUCCCCGGGCUCAACCUGGGAACUGCAUUGGUGACUGGCAGGCUAGAGUAUGGCAGAGGGGGUAGAAUUCCACGUGUAGCAGUGAAAGUGCGUAGAGAUGUGGAGGAAUACCGAUGGCGAAGGCAGCCCCCUGGGCCAAAUACUGACGCUCAUGCACGAAAGCGUGGGGAGCAAACAGGAUUAGAUACCCUGGUAGUCCAGCGCCCUAAACGAUGUCAACUAGUUGUUGGGGAUUCAUUUCCUUAGUAACGUAGCUAACGCGUGAAGUUGACCGCCUGGGGAGUACGGUCGCAAGAUUAAAACUUAAAUGAAUUGAC
rnacentral:rRNA from 1 species